CUCCCACUGCAGAAACAAUCUCACCCAACAGUCCUGCUGGAAUCCUGUUCCCAAUCAUCAGGUUGGUCCACUCAUGGAUGGAUUUAAAAUGAUCCUAGAGGCCUCCCGGGCCAUCCAGGCUGACAAGCUGGUGUUGUCAGGCCACUGGGUGGAGGUUUGGGGGCUGGAGAGGAGGCUCGGGUGAAGUCUCGGGGACCCCAGUGUGUGGGGAGGCGGUGGUACCCUCAGCACCAGCCCUGCACCCAGAGUUACUUCCCACACUAGAGAAAUAGACGCCGGAGUGCAGGUGUGCAGAGACUUGCCAAGCUAUCCAAACAGUGCCAAACCUGUCUGCAAAAGACUCAUCCAGGCCAUUGGUUUAGAUUUCACCACAGUUGGGAGUAUGAUUUCCUGUAGCCAUGCGGGAAAGAGACCUGACUGGAAGCAGCCAGCUCCAGCCCCCAGCAUGAAUCCCAGUGAUAAAGGGAGUGGCUACAGCCACACACGAUCCUCCCAGGGUCACACAGCAUUAUUCAUAAUAGCCAAAAAGUGGACCCAAUCCAAAUGUCUAUAAAUUAAUGAAUGGACAAACAGAAUAGGGUAUGUCCAUACAAUGAAAUAUAUAUGUAGUUAUAAAAAGGACUGAAUUACUGAUAUGGGUUACAACAUGGAUGAACCUUGAAUAUGUAUGAACCUUAUAGUACGUAGAUCAUACUUUAAUUUUUAGAAAGUACAAAAAGUAACAGUCUUAUUAAAAUUAACAUCACUCUUAAACUUGAUUGGGUAAAUUAAUUAAUUAACCAGGCCAUAUCUCUCUUCCUCAAGACACAAAACAAAUGCAAGCUUAGUUCACAAUAUCCUAUGCAAUGUAGUAUGACUGAUCUUAGACUUACUUAUUGCAGAAUCUGUUUAAAAAGAAGUCAGAAUGUAACUAGCAAAAGUUACUUCAUGUUAAAAGAAGAUGGAAAUAGCCUUCCAAUGAGAGAAGAUAUGUUUUUGUUUUUUAACUAAAAUCUGAGGAUAAUUUUUUAAUUAAAAAACCCUCUGAUUUUUGUGAAGUGACUGUUUUAGCCAGCUGAAUAAAUUACUUUCUUUUUCUUGUCCCCUCCACUCAAAAUAUGUUUCAGAUAUAUUAUAGUUAAGUCAAUAAAUAGUGAAACCAGAUGAAAAUAUAGGCGUAUGUCUGUCUUAUCUCUGGAUUGAGAAGAUAAUUCUCAACAUUCACUCCCACAAGAAAGGAAAGGAAAGGAGACAGGGGAGGGGAAGAAAGAAAGGAAAGAAGGAUGGAGAAAGAAAAAGAGAG
rnacentral:lncRNA from 10 species